rnacentral:rRNA from 1 species
AAUCCGGUUGAUCCUGCCGGACCUGACUGCUAUCGGAUUGAUACUAAGCCAUGCGAGUCAUUGUAGCAAUACAAGGCAGACGGCUCAGUAACGCGUAGUCAACCUAACCUAUGGACGGGAAUAACCUCGGGAAACUGAGAAUAAUGCCCGAUAGAACACUAUAUCUGGAAUGGUUUGUGUUCCAAAUGAUUUAUCGCCGUAGGAUGGGACUGCGGCCUAUCAGUUUGUUGGUGAGGUAAUGGCCCACCAAGACUAUUACAGGUACGGGCUCUGAGAGGAGUAGCCCGGAGAUGGGUACUGAGACACGG